GAUGAACGCUGACAGAAUGCUUAACACAUGCAAGUCGAUGGGGAAGUGGUGCUUGCACCAUGGUAACCAUGGCGGACGGGUGAGUAACGCGUAAGGAACUUGCCUGCGGGACUGGGAUAACAGCAGGAAACUGCUGAUAAUACCGGAUAAGGUCAUUAAGCUGCAUAGCUUAGUGAUGAAAGGAGACGCCUGCGGAGAGCCUUGCGUCCUAUUAGCUAGUUGGAGGGGUAACGGCCCACCAAGGCGAAGAUAGGUAGCCGGCCUGAGAGGGUGGACGGCCACAAGGGGACUGAGAUACGGCCUUUACUCCUACGGGAGGCAGCAGUGGGGAAGAUUGGACAAUGGGGGCAACCCUGAUCCAGCAAUUCUGUGUGCACGAAGACGGUUUUCGGAUUGUAAAGUGCUUUCAGCAGGGAAGAAGGAAGUGACGGUACCUGCAGAAGAAGCGACGGCUAAAUACGUG
rnacentral:rRNA from 1 species